GUUAAAUGGCUGAAUUUAUUGUCGUCUUCUUUUUUUUUUUUUUUUCCAUUUACUUAAGAUUUUUCAGAAUUAAUUUAAUUGACUUAGGUGGCUGUCCUUUCUAACCAUAGGAAAAUAGUAAAGAAUUACAAGUGUGCCUCAGUUUAAGGAAACACUAAGAACAUUGAUUAAUAUUUUAUUUUUACCUAAAAGAGAUAUCAAAGGGAUUCACUUCCAAUGAAAUUUGUUUACAAAAGAAUUUGAAUAAUCCCCCUUUUUAAAAGUAUUGUAAUAUUUAAAAAUGCAAGUUUCUAGGUAUACAUCUAUUGGAUAAAACAAGGUAAGUAGCCUUAGUCCUUGUGAAAUACUCUAACAUUUGAGAUUUUUUAAAAAAGUACCUAUGACCUUAAGUGAAGUCCACAAACAUUAUAAAAUGUGCAGUCAUUGUAUUAAGGAUUAAGUAAUCAAUUGAGAUCUUAAGAGAUCCAGGAUUUGUUACCAAAUCAAAAUAGUUUUUUUCAUCUGUAAAAUGGUUAAAAAAAAUUAGGUGAUCUCUAGAGUCCCCUGCAGCUCUGGUAAUCUAUCAGUCUUCCUACACUAGUCUGGCAAUAUAGCUAUAAUCCAAAUCUCACAGCUCAAGAUUUAAGUGUGAUGGCAUUGCUUUCAUAAAUAUCCUGUCAAAUCUAAUGGAAUCAUGAGUUGAAAGCUUUGCAGAUGUCUUAAAACUAAUAAUCGCUCUAAAUGAUGUCCAUGUAGGACAAAAGUUCAAACACUAUUGAACUAAAUUUCUGUUAUGUUGUGUAUUAAAUAGGUCACUGGCCAGGCCUUAGAGAUCUUUUUUGCUACAGAAAUAAUUUUCAGCAUUUGACCUAUAGUAUAUGUUAUUGUGCAAAUAUAUCUAGAAAGAAUAAUCUAUAGAAGAUGUUUUGAUUUUCAGUUGUUGGCUGCAUGAAGUUGGCAAGAUUCAUUUUUAGUGUGCAAAAUUAGGGCUUAUCAUGAGUGACUAAAUAGUACCUAUUGUCAGUCAAUGAAAAAAAUUAAAAUAAAAUAGAAACAUUUUGGGACUGAUUUUACUAAAAUGUCAAUUUAUCCUGUAUAAAAAGUAAACGUAACAUUUUUGCUAUUGGUUAAUAGGUAUCAUGAAUCUGAUUUGUGUUAAUACCAUGUGUUGAUACAAUAUGUGUUUUGAUCUUAAAUACGGAAUUUAAAAAAAAAUAUACUUGUUCAAUGAGUGGUUUUGAACUAAUGGUUCCAAGGAGAGAGACUUAGGGCAAAUCCAUAUUAGAUUAAAAAGCUAAGUAAAUUCUGGCCUUGCUUCAGUUAAAAAAACACUUAAUUGGUUGUUCUAAGUCUCUUAAAAUGGUUUAUUAUAAAAUCGAACAUCAAUACAAUCAAUCUUAUUUUGC
rnacentral:lncRNA from 1 species